UACCCUGUAGAACCGAAUUUGUGU
rnacentral:ncRNA from 8 species